GCUGAUGCAUCAGUAACAGAAUACAAGGUUAAUGAGAUUGAUAGUACUUCUCCAUUAAAACUACCUAGAUCCAUGCGUUCUGCGUUAACAAAUGGAAAACAGUGCUGAUGCAUCAGUAACAGAAAACAAGGUUAAUGAGAUUGACAGUACUUCUCCAUUAAAACUACCUAGAUCCAUGCGUUCUGCGUUCACAAAUGGAAACAACACUUUGAGAGAGAGGAAUUCUGAGACUAGUGAUCCAUUUGACCUGAUAACACGUCCACCUUCUGCUAGAAGUCCUCACCGGCCGGCAAACACAUCGGAUGGAAAAGAAAAUUGAGUGAAUGGGCCUUCUGCUAGAAGUCCUCACCGUCCGGCAAACACAUCGGAUGGAAAAGAAAAUUGAGUGAAUGGGUUCUGUAUUUUUUCGACUCAAAUUGUAUGUAUAGGUUUGAUUACAUGAAGUUUGAUCACGAUGUUCUGCCACUUGUUUUUCUUUUAAUGGCUAAUCUUUUCCUAACUUGAAAAAGAUUGCCUCAAUUGAUUGGGAAGUCCUGAUCUUUGUAGCAGG
rnacentral:lncRNA from 1 species